rnacentral:rRNA from 1 species
AUGGCUCAAGGGGUGGCUGCGGGCGGAGGAUCAAGCACGGCUGCGGGCACCGGAGCAAGCACCGCGACGGACGGCGACCCAGGCACGGUGGACAGCGGCCAAGGCGGGGCUGGGGAUGGCUCGUCGGUGAGGUCCGCUGCUGGCGGCCAUGGCGCGGCUAUGCAGCACUUGCCGAUGAGCUCAGCUGUGGGCGUAGGCCAUGGCGAUGUUGCGGGCGGUGCAGGCCAUGGCGAUGCUGCAAGGUUGGGCGUGGAUGCAGGCUUGGGCCACGGUGCGGCUGCAGACUUAGAAGGGAUGGAUCCAAAUUCUUGUUAUGUACUGAAAAUUAGAUUGCUUGGCAACCCAAAAAAAGCUAGAAAAGAGCCCAUGUGCUUUUAUUUCGAGAAGGUUAUUGAUUCCGACUUGACAAAUUAUGAAGAUUUGGUUGAAUCAAUUAUAGUGCAGUACCAGCCACGUUAUUUGGAAGUUGCGCAUGUUCACUACUAUGAUGAAGUUCUGAAAACGUUUCCAGAAAUAAAAUCAGACCAAGAGUUGAUGUAUAUGUUUGAGAAACAUGCUAAGUCAAAGAUGGUGCAGAUGUUCAUUGUAUAUUGGGAACCCUCUUAA